AGCAUGUGUGUUAGUGGAAGCGUCUGGAAAGGCGCGCGAUACAGGGUGACAGCCCCGUACACAAAAGCGCAUGUGCUGUGAGCUCGAUGAGUAGGGCGGGACACGUGGUAUCCUGUCUGAAUAUGGGGGGACCAUCCUCCAAGGCUAAAUACUCCUGACUGACCGAUAGUGAACCAGUACCGUGAGGGAAAGGCGAAAAGAACCCCGGCGAGGGGAGUGAAAAAGAACCUGAAACCGUGUACGUACAAGCAGUGGGAGCACCCUUUGGGGUGUGACUGCGUACCUUUUGUAUAAUGGGUCAGCGACUUAUAUUCUGUAGCAAGGUUAACCGAAUAGGGGAGCCGGAGGGAAACCGAGUCUUAAUUGGGCGUUAAGUUGCAGGGUAUAGACCCGAAACCCGGUGAUCUAGCCAUGGGCAGGUUGAAGGUUGGGUAACACUAACUGGAGGACCGAACCGACUAAUGUUGAAAAAUUAGCGGAUGACCUGUGGCUGGGGGUGAAAGGCCAAUCAAACCGGGAGAUAGCUGGUUCUCCCCGAAAGCUAUUUAGGUAGCGCCUCGUGAAUUCAUCUCCGGGGGUAGAGCACUGUUUCGGCUAGGGGGCCAUCCCGGCUUACCAACCCGAUGCAAACUGCGAAUACCGGAGAAUGUUAUCACGGGAGACACACGGCGGGUGCUAACGUCCGUCGUGAAGAGGGAAACAACCCAGACCGCCAGCUAAGGUCCCAAAGUCAUGGUUAAGUGGGAAACGAUGUGGGAAGGCCCAGACAGCCAGGAUGUUGGCUUAGAAGCAGCCAUCAUUUAAAGAAAGCGUAAUAGCUCACUGGUCGAGUCGGCCUGCGCGGAAGAUGUAACGGGGCUAAACCAUGCAC
rnacentral:rRNA from 1 species